GUUAGGGCUUUAGCUUCGAUCAGCAGUUGAUGCAGGGGUGGGCUGAGAUAGUCGGCAAGGGAUGCCAAUAGAAAAUGUGAGAAGAACUUGGUCAAAAUGGGGUGGAUCAUAUGGGCUUUCUUCUUAGUGGAUUUCUAGCGAAACCGGCAGCCAGCAAUAGUGCCUAAGGCCAUGCAAAAAAGGAGAAGAGAAAAAAAAAAAAA
rnacentral:lncRNA from 1 species